rnacentral:rRNA from 1 species
UACGAAGGGGGCUAGCGUUGCUCGGAAUCACUGGGCGUAAAGCGCACGUAGGCGGCUUCUUAAGUCAGGGGUGAAAUCCUGGAGCUCAACUCCAGAACUGCCUUUGAUACUGAAGAUCUCGAGUCCGGGAGAGGUGAGUGGAACUGCGAGUGUAGAGGUGAAAUUCGUAGAUAUUCGCAAGAACACCGGUGGCGAAGGCGGCAUCCUGGACCAACACUGACGCUGAGGAGCGAAAGCCAGGGGAGCAAACGGG